rnacentral:rRNA from 1 species
UACGGAGGGUGCGAGCGUUGUUCGGAAUCACUGGGCGUAAAGCGCGUGUAGGCGGCUUCCUAAGUCUGAUGUGAAAGCCCGGGGCUUACCCCCGGAAGUGCAUUGGAAACUGAGAGGCUUGAGUACCGGAGAGGAAGGUGGAAUUCCUGGUGUAGCGGUGAAAUGCGUAGAUAUCAGGAGGAACACCGGUGGCGAAGGCGGCCUUCUGGACGGAUACUGACGCUGAGACGCGAAAGCGUGGGGAGCAAACAGGAUUAGAUACCCUGGUAGUCCACGCUGUAAACGAUGGGCACUAGGUGUUCGGGGUAUUGACCCCCUGAGUGCCGCAGCUAACGCAUUAAGUGCCCCGCCUGGGGACUACGGCCGCAAGGUUAAA